GAAGUCACUAAUCCCAUGCUGCCAAGAAAAGCCUCUAGCGAGCUUGCACGGUACCCGUACCCCAAACCGACACAGGUGGGCAGGUAGAGAAUACCAAGGCGAUCGGGAGAACUGUGGUUAAGGAACUCGGCAAAAUGCCUCCGUAACUUCGGGAGAAGGAGGACCCCAUCAGGGUGAAGGACCUCGCGUCCGGAGCUCGAAGGGGUGGCACAGACCAGGGGAAAGCGACUGUUUACUAAAAACACAGCAGCGUGCGAAGUCGUAAGACGAUGUAUACGCUGUGACGCCUGCCCAAUGCCGGAAGGUUAAAGGGAAAGGUUAGCCCGCAAGGGCGAAGCUUUGAACUGAAGCCCCGGUGAAUGGCGGCCGUAACUAUAACGGUCCUAAGGUAGCGAAAUUCCUUGUCGGGUAAGUUCCGACCUGCACGAAUGGCGUAACGACUUUCCUACUGUCUCAACCACAGACCCGGCGAAAUUGAAGUACGAGUAAAGAUGCUCGUUAGCUGCAGAAGGACGGAAAGACCCCGUGGACCUUUACUAUAGCUUGAUGUUGAGUUUUGUUAUGUGUUGUGUAGGAUAGGUGGGAGACUUGGAAGCAUUGGCGCCAGCCAGUGUGGAGUCAACCUUGAAAUACCACCCUGCUCAUGACGGAGCUCUAACCCACGUCCCUGAUCGGGAUGGGGAACAGCGUCUGGUGGGUAGUUUGACUGGGGCGGUCGCCUCCUAAAGAGUAACGGAGGCGCCCAAAGGUUCCCUCAGGCUGGUUGGCAAUCAGCCGUCGAGUGCAAUGGCACAAGGGAGCUUGACUGCGAGACCUACAAGUCAAGCAGGUGCGAAAGCAGGGCAUAGUGAUCCGGCGGUUGCGUGUGGAAGCGCCGUCGCUCAACGGAUAAAAGGUACCCCGGGGAUAACAGGCUCAUCUUCCCCAAGAGUCCAUAUCGACGGGAAGGUUUGGCACCUCGAUGUCGGCUCAUCGCAUCCUGGGGCUGAAGCAGGUCCCAAGGGUUGGGCUGUUCGCCCAUUAAAGCGGUACGCGAGCUGGGUUUAGAACGUCGUGAGACAGUUCGGUCCCUAUCCUCUGCAGCCGGAAGGAACUUGAGAAAAUCUGUCCCUAGUACGAGAGGACCGGGAUGGACGCAGCUCUCGUGUGCCAGUUGUCCUGCCAAGGGCACUGCUGGUUAGCGUCCUGCGGAAGGGAUAAGCGCUGAAAGCAUCUAAGUGCGAAGCCCAUUUCUAGAUGAGGUUCCUCACUGGGUUAACCAGGUAAGGCCCGUGAUAGACCAACACGUUGAUAGGCCGGAAGUGUAAGCGUGGUAACACGUUCAGCUGACCGGUAC
rnacentral:rRNA from 1 species